AAAAACAGUUCAGCCAGCCCCCACUACACUAGCUCCCAGACACAGGGUGAAGUGAACCAGAGUCCCAAACCUGCCUGACUGCGAUGCUGCUUGGACCAAAGUUUUGAGUGUAUCUAAUGCAAAAGUUCCACGUGUGGGUUCCAUUGACUGUGUCCUCCGAGCUGUUUGCUGUGAAGGAGGUAGAGAUGGUGACUCACAAAUGCAUCCCUGACAGAGUCUGUCACCAGCCUGGAAAUCACCAAGUAGAAGCUGGCUGAUCAGCUAGUCCCAGGACUCUUCCCAUCUCCACCUCCGAACGCCACCAUGACUGGCUUUCUUACAUAGGUCGUGGGAAUGGAACUCAGCUUCUCAAGCUCACACUACUGAGCUAUGUCUGCCUGAGAGAGAGGCACUUUGCAGUCUAGAUUUUCUCCUUAAAUCUCUUGCUAUGUAUAUAGGGGAUGAGCAUUGCUUAGGGGGACAUAAGGUUUUGUUAAUGGUGAAUUAUCCCGGAAUAAACGUUGGCUCUUGUUUAUCCAGAAGGA